AUGUUAACUACAAACUGUGUUGUGCAGUUUUUGAAGGACAGCACCCUCACUGAACCAGUGGUAAUGGCACUUCUCAAAUACUGGCCAAAGACUCACAGUCCAAAAGAAGUAAUGUUCUUAAAUGAAUUAGAAGAAAUUCUAGAUGUAAUUGAACCGUCAAAAUUUAUGAAGAUCAUGGAGCCUCUCUUUCGAGAAUUAGCCAAGUGUGUUUCCAGCCCUCACUUCCAGGUGGCAGAGUGGGCACUGUAUUACUGGAACAAUGAGUACAUCAUGAGUUUAAUUAGUGACAAUGCAGCGAAGAUCCUGCCCAUCAUGUUUCCAUCCCUGUACCGCAAACUCGAAGACCCACUGGAACAAGACAAUACACAGCUUGAUAUACAGCGCCCUGACACUCUUCAUGGAGAUGAGCCAAAAACUCUCUGGUGACUGGACCCAGCAGUUCAAAGCAGAGAAACUGAAAGAGAAGCUAAAAAUGAAACAACAAGAAGAAGCAUGGGUUAAAAUAGAAAAUCUAGCCAAAGCGAAUCCCCGGGUACUACAGAGGAGAGUAACACAGGAGUGUUGA